rnacentral:rRNA from 1 species
UACGGGGGGGGGCAAGCGUUGUUCGGAAUUACUGGGCGUAAAGGGCUCGUAGGCGGCCAACUAAGUCAGACGUGAAAUCCCUCGGCUUAACCGGGGGAACUGCGUCUGAUACUGGAUGGCUUGAGUUUGGGAGAGGGAUGCGGAAUUCCAGGUGUAGCGGUGAAAUGCGUAGAUAUCUGGAGGAACACCGGUGGCGAAGGUGGCAUCCUGGACCGAUAUUGACGCUGAUGCGCGAAAGCCAGGGGAGCAAACGGG